rnacentral:sRNA from 1 species
GCCUGUAUCUGUAGUUCCAGCUACUGGAGGCUGAGGCAGGAGGAUGGCUUGAGUCCAGGAGUUUGAGGCCAGCUUGAGCAACACAGCAAGACCCUGUCUCAA